CAGCCGCCGCGGUAAUACGAGGGGGGCAAGCGUUGUUCGGAUUUAUUGGGCGUAAAGGGUGCGUAGGCGGUUUGGCAAGUCUCGUGUGAAAUCUAUGGGCUCAACCCAUAGCCUGCACGAGAAACUACCGGGCUUGAGUAUUGGAGAGGUGAGUGGAAUUUCCGGUGUAGCGGUGAAAUGCGUAGAUAUCGGAAGGAACACCUGUGGCGAAAGCGGCUCACUGGACAAUAACUGACGCUGAUGCACGAAAGCUAGGGGAGCAAACAGGAUUAGAUACCCCCGUAGUCCCUGUCUCUUAUAU
rnacentral:rRNA from 1 species